rnacentral:misc_RNA from 1 species
GAUGAAGAACGCAGCGAAAUGCGAUAAGUAAUGUGAAUUGCAGAAUUCAGUGAAUCAUCGAAUCUUUGAACGCACAUUGCGCCCGCCAGUAUUCUGGCGGGCAUGCCUGUCUGAGCGUCAUUUCAACCCUCAUGCCCCUAGGGCGUGGUGUUGGGGACCGGCUUGCCUUCAGCGCCUGCCGCCCCCGAAAUACAGUGGCGGUCUCGCCGCAGCCUCCUCUGCGUAGUAGUUUACAACCUCGCAUACGGAGCGCGGCGCGGCCACGCCGUAAAACCCCCUACUUUCAAAGGUUGACCUCGAAUCAGGUAGGAAUACCCGCUGAACUUAAGCAUAUCAAUAAGCGGAGGA